AGAGUUUGAUCCUGGCUCAGGACGAACGCUGGCGGCACGCUUAACACAUGCAAGUCGAACGAGAGAAGAGAAGCUUGCUUUUCUGAUCUAGUGGCGGACGGGUGAGUAACACGUGAGCAAUCUACCUUUCAGAGGGGGAUACCGGAUUGGAAACGAUCGUUAAUACCGCAUAACAUAAUUGAACCGCAUGAUUUGAUUAUCAAAGAUUUAUCGCUGAAAGAUGAGCUCGCGUCUGAUUAGCUAGUUGGUAAGGUAACGGCUUACCAAGGCGACGAUCAGUAGCCGGACUGAGAGGUUGAUCGGCCACGAUUGGGACUGAGACACGGCCCAGACUCCUACGGGAGGCA
rnacentral:rRNA from 1 species